rnacentral:rRNA from 1 species
AGCCCGAAGAAAUUCGGAUUAAUACUCCAUAAUACUGCGAGAAGGCAUCUUUUUUCAGUUAAAGCUUCGGCGGUCAGAGAUGGGCAUGCGUAACAUUAGCUAGUUGGUGAGGUAACUGCUCACCAAGGCUACGAUGUUUAGGGGGUCUGAGAGGAUGGUCCCCCACACUGGUACUGAGACACGGACCAGACUCCUACGGGAGGCAGCAGUGAGGAAUAUUGGUCAAUGGGCGAAAGCCUGAACCCAGCCAUGCCGCGUGAAGGAUUGCGGCCCUAUAGGUUUGUAACCUUCUUUUAUACGGGAAGAAACCUCUCUAACGUGUAGAGGGUUUGACGGUACCCGUACGAAUAAGCAUCGGCCUAACUCCGUGCCAGCAGCCGCGGAAAUACGGAGGGAUGCAAGCGUUAUCCGGAUUCAUUGGGGUUUAAAAGGUGCCGCAGCCGGAGAAUUAAGUCAAGUUGGUGAAAUCCUGCAGCUUAACUGUAGAAUGGUCAUUGAUACUGGUUUUCUUGAAUGCCGUUGAAGGUAGGCGGAAUGUGUAAUGUAGCGGUGAAAUGCUUAGAUAUUACCCAGAACACCGUUUGCGAAGGCAGCUUUACUAAACUGUGAUUGACGCUGAGGCACGAAAGCGUGGGGAGCGAACAGGAUUAGAUACCCUGGUUAGUCCACGCUGUAAACUAUGAUCACUCGUUGUUGGCAAUACAUCGUCAGCGACUUAGCGAAAGCAUUAAGUGAUCCACCUGGGGAGUACGAUCGCAAGAUUGAAACUCAAAGGAAUUGACGGGGGCCCCGCACAAGCGGAGGAACAUGUGGUUUAAUUCGAUGAUACGCGAGGAACCUUACCUGGGCUUAAAUGCAUAACGACGGACCGGGAAACUGGUCUUUCUUCGGACGGCAUGCAAGGUGCUGCAUGGCUGUCGUCAGCUCGUGCCGUGAGGUGUCGGGUUAAGUCCCAUAACGAGCGCAAUCCUUAUCAUUAGUUGCCAGCGGGUAAUGCCGGGGACUCUAAUGAAACUGCCGGUGUAAACCGAGAGGAAGGUGGGGAUGACGUCAAGUCAGCACGGCCCUUAUGUCCAGGGCUACACACGUGUUACAAUGGUCAGUACAGAGGGAAGCUACCAGGCGACUGGAUGCUAAUCUCAAAAACUGGUCUCAGUUCGGAUCGGAGUCUGCAACUCGACUUCGUGAAGUUGGAUUCGCUAGUAAUCGCGCAUCAGCCAUGGCGCGGUGAAUACGUCCCCGGGCCUUGUACACACCGCCCGUCAAGCCAUGGAAGCCGGGGGUACCUGAAGUUCGUAACC